AGGUAAGCUACUAAGAGCGAAUGGUGGAUGCCUUGACUGGUAAAGGCGAUGAAGGACGUACUAGACUGCGAUAAGCUACGGGGAGCUGUCAAGAAGCUUUGAUCCGUAGAUUUCCGAAUGGGGCAACCCAAUGUAUAGAGAUAUACAUUACCUAUAUAGGAGCGAACGAGGGGAAUUGAAACAUCUUAGUACCCUCAGGAAAAGAAAUCAAUAGAGAUUGCGUCAGUAGCGGCGAGCGAAAGCGCAAGAGGGCAAACCCAGUGCUUGCACUGGGGGUUGUAGGACUGCAAUGUGCAAGAGCUGAGUUUAGCAGAACAUUCUGGAAAGUAUAGCCAUAGAGGGUGAUAGUCCCGUAUGCGAAAAACAAAGCUUAGCUAGCAGUAUCCUGAGUAGGGCGGGACACGAGGAAUCCUGUCUGAAUCCGGGUCGACCACGAUCCAACCCUAAAUACUAAUACCAGAUCGAUAGUGCACAAGUACCGUGAGGGAAAGGUGAAAAGAACUGAGGUGAUCAGAGUGAAAUAGAACCUGAAACCAUUUGCUUACAAUCAUUCAGAGCACUAUGUAGCAAUACAGUGUGAUGGACUGCCUUUUGCAUAAUGAGCCUGCGAGUUGUGGUGUCUGGCAAGGUUAAGCAAACGCGAAGCCGUAGCGAAAGCGAGUCUGAAUAGGGCGCUUAGUCAGAUGCUGCAGACCCGAAACGAAGUGAUCUAUCCAUGAGCAAGUUGAAGCUAGUGUAAGAACUAGUGGAGGACUGAACCCAUAGGCGUUGAAAAGCCCCGGGAUGACUUGUGGAUAGGGGUGAAAGGCCAAUCAAACUUCGUGAUAGCUGGUUCUCUCCGAAAUAUAUUUAGGUAUAGCGUUGUGUCGUAAUAUAAGGGGGUAGAGCACUGAAUGGGCUAGGGCAUACACCAAUGUACCAAACCCUAUCAAACUCCGAAUACCUUAUAUGUAAUCACAGCAGUCAGGCGGCGAGUGAUAAAAUCCGUCGUCAAGAGGGAAACAACCCAGACUACCAGCUAAGGUCCCUAAAUCUUACUUAAGUGGAAAACGAUGUGAAGUUACUUAAACAACCAGGAGGUUGGCUUAGAAGCAGCCAUCCUUUAAAGAAAGCGUAAUAGCUCACUGGUCUAGUGAUUUUGCGCGGAAAAUAUAACGGGGCUAAAGUAAGUACCGAAGCUGUAGACUUGCACACAACUUAGAUUAUUUAAGUUUAGAAUAAGUAGUUUAAGUUGUGUGCAAGUGGUAGGAGAGCGUUCUAUUUGCGUCGAAGGUAUACCGGUAAGGAGUGCUGGAGCGAAUAGAAGUGAGCAUGCAGGCAUGAGUAGCGAUAAUUAAUGUGAGAAUCAUUAACGCCGUAAACCCAAGGUUUCCUACGCGAUGCUCGUCAUCGUAGGGUUAGUCGGGUCCUAAGUCGAGUCCGAAAGGGGUAGACGA
rnacentral:rRNA from 1 species